rnacentral:rRNA from 1 species
AUUGAACGCUGGCGGCAGGCUUAACACAUGCAAGUCGAGCGGAGACUUCGGUCUUAGCGGCGAACGGGUGAGUAAUACCUAGGAAUCUGCCUAUUAGUGGGGGAUAACGAAUCGAAAGGUUCGCUAAUACCGCAUACGUCCUACGGGAGAAAGGGGGGGAUCUUCGGACCUCUCGCUAAUAGAUGAGCCUAGGCCGGAUUAGCUAGUUGGUAGGGUAAAGGCCUACCAAGGCGACGAUCUGUAGCUGGUCUGAGAGGAUGGCCAGCCACACUGGAACUGGGACACGGUCCAGACUCCUACGGGAGGCAGCAGUGGGGAAUAUUGGACAAUGGGGGCAACCCUGAUCCAGCCAUGCCGCGUGUGUGAAGGAGGCCUUCGGGUUGUAAAGCACUUUAAGCGAGGAGGAAGGUUUUUAGUUUAAUACACUAAAGAAUUGACGUUACUCGCAGAAUAAGCACCGGCUAACUCUGUG